rnacentral:rRNA from 1 species
GACGAACGCUGGCGGCGUGCUUAACACAUGCAAGUCGAACGGAAAGGCCCUGCUUUUGUGGGGUGCUCGAGUGGCGAACGGGUGAGUAACACGUGAGUAACCUGCCCUUGACUUUGGGAUAACUUCAGGAAACUGGGGCUAAUACCGGAUAGGAGCUCCUGCUGCAUGGUGGGGGUUGGAAAGUUUCGGCGGUUGGGGAUGGACUCGCGGCUUAUCAGCUUGUUGGUGGGGUAGUGGCUUACCAAGGCUUUGACGGGUAGCCGGCCUGAGAGGGUGACCGGCCACAUUGGGACUGAGAUACGGCCCAGACUCCUACGGGAGGCAGCAGGGGGAAGUAUUGCACAAUGGGCGGAAGCCUGAUGCAGCAACGCCGCGUGCGGGAUGACGGCCUUCGGGUUGUAAACCGCUUUCGCCUGUGACGAAGCGUGAGUGACGGUAAUGGGUAAAGAAGCACCGGCUAACUACGUG